rnacentral:rRNA from 1 species
GGGGGGGGGGGGGGGGGGGCUGAAGAGGGGCAGGGCGGGGGGGAGCGUGGUCUUAGCUUGCUAAGGCCGAUGGCGACCGGCGCACGGGUGAGUAACACGUAUCCAACCUGCCGUCUACUCUUGGACAGCCUUCUGAAAGGAAGAUUAAUACAAGAUGGCAUCAUGAGUCCGCAUGUUCACAUGAUUAAAGGUAUUCCGGUAGACGAUGGGGAUGCGUUCCAUUAGAUAGUAGGCGGGGUAACGGCCCACCUAGUCUUCGAUGGAUAGGGGUUCUGAGAGGAAGGUCCCCCACAUUGGAACUGAGACACGGUCCAAACUCCUACGGGAGGCAGCAGUGAGGAAUAUUGGUCAAUGGGCGAGAGCCUGAACCAGCCAAGUAGCGUGAAGGAUGACUGCCCUAUGGGUUGUAAACUUCUUUUAUAAAGGAAUAAAGUCGGGUAUGGAUACCCGUUUGCAUGUACUUUAUGAAUAAGGAUCGGCUAACUCCGUG